rnacentral:rRNA from 1 species
UACGUAGGGUGCAAGCGUUGUCCGGAAUUAUUGGGCGUAAAGAGCUCGUAGGCGGUUUGUCGCGUCUGCUGUGAAAACCCGAGGCUCAACCUCGGGCCUGCAGUGGGUACGGGCAGACUAGAGUGCGGUAGGGGAGAUUGGAAUUCCUGGUGUAGCGGUGGAAUGCGCAGAUAUCAGGAGGAACACCAAUGGCGAAGGCAGAUCUCUGGGCUGUAACUGACGCUGAGGAGCGAAAGCAUGGGGAGCGAACAGG